CCUACGGGUGGCAGCAGUGAGGAAUAUUCGUCAAUGGACGAGAGUCUGACCCAGCCAAGUAGCGUGAAGGAUGACUGCCCUAUGGGUUGUAAACUUCUUUUAUAUGGGAAUAAAAUGUUGCACGUGUGGGAUUUUGUAUGUACCAUAUGAAUAAGGAUCGGCUAACUCCGUGCCAGCAGCCGCGGUAAUACGGAGGAUCCGAGCGUUAUCUGGAUUUAUUGGGUUUAAAGGGAGCGUAGGUGGAUUGUUAAGUCAGUUGUGAAAGUUGGCGGCUCAACCGUAAAAUUGCAGUUGAAACUGGAAGACUUGAGUGCAGUAGAGGAGAGUGGAAUUCGAGGUGUAGCGGUGAAAUGCGUAGAGAUAACGAAGAACUCCGAUUGCGAAGGCGAUUCACUGGACUGCAACUGACGCUGAGGCGCGAAAGUGUGGGUAUCAAACAGGAUUAGAUACCCGGGUAGUC
rnacentral:rRNA from 1 species